UUUGCUCUAGCAGACAAAAGGAUUAUUCUUGUCAGGAGUGUACAUGUAUGAGUGAGCCUUACACUCAGCAGCCUCUCAGAGUCAUGCAUUGGUCUGCACUGUACGUCUUUCUCCUGCUGGGAUUGCUGCCUUGCUAUGAUGCUCAAACAGAACCAACAGGUAACAUCCACAACACCACCUCAUACACUGUACUCCCUGCUCCAAUUCCUCCAGUGCAACAUACUCAGCCUCCUUCCACCUCAACCCCAUCUAUGAUCUGCAACAUCCCUUCUAUGUUUCCAAGCUGCAUCCACCCAAAAUGUAUCAAACAUUUUCACCGCUCUCAUUCUGACUUGGAGCGAUUCUUUCCAGCCUUUCCCUGGCCACUAACAGCUCUGCCACGCAGCCACAAAAUAUCUCACAGGCCCCUCAAUCUAGAGACUCUUAGCUACAACUGCUACUACCAUUAGAUCUACAGUACUUGCUGCAACACAAGCUGUGCCCAUGAUCAUCCACUCAGACAAUCGUGAUUUUGUGAGACACCAAAGUGAUGUAGAAUAACGUGGUGAAAUUACAGUUAUUGUUUACAGUCGUGCUGUGUGUGCUGCAGGCUGCGCAGGUCCACCCGUGCUGUGUUGCUCCGGUCAAAACUCCAACUGUUUCAGAGGGUGUUAUUGUGAUGAGGCCUGCGUGGUUUUCAAUGACUGCUGUCAUGACUACAGGUCAACCUGCACGCAACUUUUGACCACUGGGCAGCCAAGCACACCCAGCAUAACAAGCAGCAGUGCUACACCUACACCUGCAAAUGACAUCGCAACUACAUCAUCCACAGCCUUUUCUGCAACAUCUGCACUAUUGAAUGUGAGCACAACCUCGGC